AGUCAAUUGAAAUCCCUAAUUUUUUGCCAUUUUCUACCAUUAUUGCCCCUCCCCUAACACACCGGCCUCCCUUUUUUCCCCAACUAAACCCUAUCACAUUCCUUCACUCUUCAAUUGCAGCGAUGAAACGUCUGGACUUCCGACGGUUUCCAAGCCCCCUCUACUCUAUAAUAACUAUACAUACUAGAGAAAAUAGAGAGUUGGAGAGAGGGAGAGAGAGAUGGGGCUAAGAUGGAGAACAGGAUAAUAUGAGGGAUCCAGUCGAUGGUUCCGACGACCGUUCUACGGCGGCAUAGCCACCACCACCACCACAACAUCAGCGAGUGGAGUUCAAGAGACGCCGGCGGGGUGGGGUUCCGAUUAGUCGUACAGUCUUUGGAACACUGGUAACCCUGGUGAUCUCUGCAUCCCAUCACAGGGAGGUAAUUCAUGUAGAAUUAUGAAUUGUAUUCUAGCAGUCAAAUCCUACAAUGAGUGGAAACAAACAGAUCAAUCAUUGGGUUUCUCGGGGCACUAAAGAACAACUCUAUAAUGUUAUGGAUGGUAUAUUCAUGUACUAAAGGUCUAAGAUUACGAUUUUGUUACUGUCUUCCGGUCCUUUCAUGAAUUUUUAAGUUAAUUGCAAUAUUUGAUCAUGCUAUGCUUGGUUUUGAUGGGGAUUCUUGUAUUUACAGUCUUGAUGUAAGUGUACUUGGUUGAUUCAUAGACUCUAUAUACAUGAUGAUUUCAAAAGUCCAGAUAUUUAUGAAAGAAAUCGGUAUAAAGAAAGAACCCGCUUGCAGGUGGGUGGAUAUCAAAAACUUUGUGCACAUGAAUGUGGCAAAUGAUGAAAAUCACCGUAUGUAGAAUGAGAUUAAUAAAAUGUGGGGUAAGAUUAGUGAAAGAAAUUAAGGAAAUCGGGUACGUGCCUGACAUGAGUCAUGUUUUGUUGUAUGUUGAUGAGCAAGAAAGAGAAGUGAAGUUACAAUAUCAUAGUGAAAAACUUGCUUUGGCUUUUGCACUUUUAAAGACGCCACCGGGGUCCACUAUUAGGAUUAAGAAGAACAUUAGAGUUAGGGGUGGCAAUCGUGUCGGGUUGAUGGGUUGGCGGGUUGACGGGUUACGGGUUGGCGGGUUGGUGGGUUGAAAUGUUCAACCCGAACCCUGACCCAUAUUAUUAUUCGGGUCAAAAAUUUCAACCCUAACCCGACCCGUAUUAAUUCGGGUCAACCCAAACCCGACCCGUUUAACCCAUAUUUUUAAAUGAGUGAGAUAAGUUGACGAUUUAUAAACGAGUUGUUAGGUUUUAAGCGGGUUAUCUAUAACAUGUUUAAUGAUGAGUAUGGGUGUGAUAAAUAAAUAAUAUAAUGUGUCAAAAUUAACAUUAUUAUAACUAACCAUGUAAAUUAGAAACCGAAAAAACAAAAAUAUAAAAGAUUUUUUUAUCUAAAUAGUUAAACGGGUUAAUGGGUCAACCCGUUUUUAUAUGGGUCAACCCGAACCUGACCCGUUUUUAUAUGGGUCAACCCGAACCCGACCCGUUUUUAAUAGAGUUUGUGGUGAUUGUCAUUCGGCUUUUAAGUAUGCUUCACUGGUGGUCGAGCGAGAAAUUAUUUUGAGGGACACGAAUCGGUUUCAUCAUUUUUAUCGUGGAUCUUGUUCUUGUGGCGAUUAUUGGUAGAUUUUUGAAAUAAAGAAAAACCUGUAACUUUGUCUAACUUAAAAAAUUUGUUAGUCAUGAUAUGCAUACAGAUGUUGUGCAUGUGAUUUUACCUUGAUUGUUUCCUUCAGCUUGAAAGCUGAGUUUACUACAGGUCUGAUACUUUAGUUCAUUUUUUUUUCUCGAUUUUGUAUUAUUAGAACUUUUUAAACUUCAUAACUUUUUUUUAUACAGAAAACAUGUUACUCUAAGGGCUGGCCCUGUUGUAUAGACGACUGUUGAUCUUUUAGGGUUUUUUUUUUAUGCAUCAUGUGUCUUGUUACAACUACAUAUAGUUGAUCAAUAUACAGUAAUUCACGUGGAACCUUCUUUAUUAUAUGAAGACCAAUUUUCUUGCAUUGAUGAUAUCUUUCUUAUGUUUGUCAAGUUCUCUAAGUUGAUGAUUUCCUUAAUCUGACAUCGAGCGGAUUUUCAUUCAUGGUGUGUUCCGAUUACAAAGUACAGAAUUUUUAAAGAAACUUUGUUAAGUGGAAGUCAUAUGGCAUCUCAUGGCGUUACCCUGCCUCAAGUUGAUAAGUGGUCCUGUUCUUGGGCUGCAAGAGACCCAGUUGAUUUUGGUUCGCGGGCCGCUCUGGCUGGAGCCGGACCCUCCACCAUUUCGAUUUGGUCCGUUUCCUUUUGAACCAUGCAAUUUUGGCAGGCAGGCAGGAAGGCAGUUGAACCAGUAACUUGGUUAGCCACGAUGUUGCAGGUUUGACGUAAGAUCAAAGCGACAAUUCUAUACAAGGAGGAUCAGCUCCAGGAUUAUGUCUCUUGGUUUAUAAAAAAAUUAAACAACCCCCUUAACUGGAAACACCUUCAAAGUUGUUUUGUUAAAACCGAGGUUUGCAAUAGCCUGCCAAAAAGAUACAGAACUCUCAAACAAUACAAAUUGGCAGAAUUAACUCCCAUUGAAGCUGUUGCAGACCACCCUCUCAGUGUGGUUAUCCUGCUUUUAAUGCAUCUUACUAUGAUUUGAGCUUUCAUCCAGUGAGCUCUAACAAGGACUGCAAAACUGUGAUUCGUGCAAAGCUGGAGUGGCACAAUACAUAAAAACCAAAUGGCGUGUGGUUGCUAUCUUUAACGUGAUUUUGCUUGUGAUCUUGGAUGCUGUGCAAGACGAAAUGCUGCUUGGAUGCACUCAAAAGUCUAAAGACAAAAUAAUAACAUCAUGAUGGAUUUGAUUAUUUAUAUACAGACUUAUGUAAUUGUAAUUAACGAGUUUACGCUAACCCGCGCAUUGCCAUAUUAUUUGUUUGUGAACUAAUAAAUUAUUUAAUAAAAAACAAUGUAUCAGAUGUUUGAUCAAA